GUUUGUAGAAAUGUAAGAAUAAUUUUACACAAUAAUUAUUUUAAUACAUAUCAAACAUUUUAUGAAAUAGAUGUUGUAAUUUUUUUGAAUGCGUGACGGGCAUUUUUCAAAUACACGUUUACAAUUUCUUAAUACAAGUGAGAAUUUUCCAAAAUAUCUUGCUUUUUAGAAAAAUGCAAUAACACUUUUUUAAGUUGAUGGCAGGUAAUAUGUUGAGUUGUUCUCUUUUUUUCAAACGUGAGAAUUUCUUAAUAAUUUUCGAAAUUUUCUGCAAGUCAACCUUUUUCUUUUUUAUUUCUCUUUAUUAUUUCGUUUGAUAUCCCUAAUAAAUAGUACUGUAUCUGGAUAUUGUGUAGAUAACUAUUCUUGGCUUAUUGGUUAGCACAUGUGAACGUUGUGCGUGAGGUGAUGAAUUCAAACCCUGCCGGUGUGCUAUUUUUUUAUAUUAUACUUUAUUUUAUCCCACAUGCUAACAUGCGGGGCCUAAAUCUGACAGGUGAGAUCAAUGCAGUUUGGCAUAUUUAAAUAAAAUAUCAAGAGCUUUUUGUGAAAAUUAUUUAAAGUACAAGGAAUUUUUUGUAAAACAACCAGCCCACCCCUCUCACAGGAAUUGACAUGUGGAGUCGACGCCAUGUUGGCCCAUCAUGUGGGCUAUGCAUAUGCCCGGAUACGGACGGAGGAACCGUAUUUAAACGUUCGGACAAGUUACGGCACUAGUUUCAUGUAUUUUACAAGUUUAGACAUCAAAAUGAUCGUAUCGGACAAGUUGAGGCACCCAUGGUGUAUUUAAGUCAAUGGAAAACCUUCCAAGAGAUAAGGUUCGCAUCCUGUGUGUGGACUGGAAACCGUACACGAACCAAUCGAUUCGGUUUAGUACACAGGAACCACCGCCGCUGCCGGGAGAUCGAGUUACGAUGCCUUUGCCGCAGGCGGGCGCUGACUUGCCUCGUGCUGGAGUUCGCCGGCGUUCAAUGAACACCGCCACGGGCACCGUGCCGCGGGGUGUGAAGGGCUGCGUCGAUACGGGCCGAGGCCGUAGCCGUCGCUCGCUCCGUGUCACCGCGCCACGGCUGUGGCCGAGGGCCACGCCAGGACUGUAGCCGCCUCUGGCUGGUGCGGGAGGCCGCUACCGUGCAGGGAGGUCGAGGCCGCGUGACCACGCGCCAGCAGGUGGCCUGCGCCGUCGUGCUCGCGCCGCAUGGUCACGAGCGCUGCGGCCCAGCCGCUGAUGCAGGAUCGGGGGCUGCGGCAGGCUCGGAUGUGCGCGUGGCUGUUGCCGCGGCGGGUUCGCGCGGGGUCGAGGCGCAACCAGGCCGCCGCUUUCGGGAACCAAGCCAACGGCCGGGACCUCGUUAGGAAGAGCAUCCGAGGCGCUUGGACGCCGGCGCCGUUGGCGAUGUUGACAAAGGGUAGCAGCAGUUGCCGCUUGAUCCAGGGCAAAGCAAAUUGAAGAAUUCAUGAAUUCCACUGGAAGAGGGGAUCGGGAGACUCGCCCGGCUCUCUCGUUCAUCCCCUGUAUUCCUGGAGGAAUCGAAGAGGCGGUUAGAGAUCGAGAGAUUUGUGGUCGUGGCAGUCCACGGCGCGACGCUGCUGCUUGGAAGCGCUUCUGCCGGGCCGCCGCGGUAGCGGGCGCCACCACGCCUGGUUGUAGCCGUCGAACUCGCGGGCGAGCGAUGGAACUGUCGCGCCGCUGGAAUCGCUCCGCCGGGAGCGUGCCAAAGUUAGUAUAAAGUUGAGUCAUCGGAGGGAGUAGAUCUUAAACGAGAGAGACGAGAGACAGAGAUGUAAAGAGUGAAUGCGUGUUAUCUUUAUUGAUGAUGUGAUCACAUAUAUAUACAGUUUGAGGGGGUGCCAUUA